UACGAAGGGAGCUAGCGUUGUUCGGAAUCACUGGGCGUAAAGCGCACGUAGGCGGAUGUGUCAGUCAGGGGUGAAAUCCCGGAGCUCAACUUCGGAACUGCCCUUGAUACAGCACGUCUUGAGUCCGGAAGAGGUGGGUGGAAUUCCUAGUGUAGAGGUGAAAUUCGUAGAUAUCGGGAGGAACACCUGUGGCGAAGGCGGCCACCUGGUUGGAUACUGACGCUGAGACGCGAAAGCGUGGGGAGCAAACAGG
rnacentral:rRNA from 1 species